rnacentral:rRNA from 1 species
UGGGGAAUAUUGGACAAUGGGCGAAAGCCUGAUCCAGCCAUGCCGCGUGUGUGAAGAAGGUCUUCGGAUUGUAAAGCACUUUAAGUUGGGAGGAAGGGCAGUAAGCGAAUACCUUGCUGUUUUGACGUUACCGACAGAAUAAGCACCGGCUAACUCUGUGCCAGCAGGCGCGGUAAUACAGAGGGUGCAAGCGUUAAUCGGAAUUACUGGGCGUAAAGCGCGCGUAGGUGGUUCGUUAAGUUGAAUGUGAAAGCCCCGGGCUCAACCUGGGAACUGCAUCCAGAACUGGCGAGCUAGAGUAGGGCAGAGGGUGGUGGAAUUUCCUGUGUAGCGGUGAAAUGCGUAGAUAUAGGAAGGAACACCAGUGGCGAAGGCGACCACCUGGGCUCAUACUGACACUGAGGUGCGAAAGCGUGGGGAGCAAACAGG